CCUCCCUCUUAUUAAGGACCCUUAUGAUAAUGCAGGAUAGUAUCUCUAUAUUAUUUUUAUAAAUUUUUAAUUUAUAAAAUGAGGUUAUUGGACUACACCAGGGAAGGAAAUACCUGGUGAGGAGCAUAUUGUCAACCCUUCCUCUCACGCUUAUAACAGAGAUGACUUCUUCUCUUGUGAGCUUUUUCCUAGUCUUUCAAACAGCCACUGCUAGGUAGCUAGAAGUGAUACUGAGAUGAAAUCUAUUUUCUCUCCCUGAGCAAGAUCAUCUCUAAGGCCUGUGACCUAAGCUAUGAAAACACAUACAGAGCUAAAACUCAACUAGCCUCAUCAUGGAUCAUUGAAUACCCAAAGUCAAUUGAUUCCCUUUCUUUUCAAUAUAUUUUCUCCUCCCAAUUUUUUCUAGACCUAUUAACUUGUCUAAAGUUAGUGUUUCCUAUGUCCGUGCUUUUCCUUUGAAGGGAGCAGUUAGGAGCAAAAUGAGACAUAGAAGACCUGAAAGGUCUUCUACCUGUUUUGUCAAUUAAGUACAAAUGAGAGUUGCCCACACAGAACCCUUGCCCUGCAACCACAGCAGGCAUGGCUAGACUGUGCUUGUGCUGAUAAUUUCUACUUACACCUACACCUGCACCUUAUAGCCACACCGAUACUUACUUCCACCCCAACACCUACACCUGCACCUAUACCUAUGUUGACACCAACACAUACACCUAUACUUACACUUAUAUUUAAAAACUCAUGUCCUUCUUUUUUUUUUAACCCACUGAUUUCCAGACAGAGGUUGCCUCUUGCUGAUAUGCAGAGAACACUGUAGCAAGCUCUACUGUCUAUUGCCAGAUUCAUAAGCCAAAAGAGAAUUCUCUCAAAAACAUUUGGCAACCAGUCAUGACCAGACAUGUGAAACAUCUCACCGAGAGUAGGUACAAAACAUUAAAGACAUAGCUUGGACCAUGAAAAAAAGCUGCGAGACAGGAUGUGAACUCCCUUCUACUGGAAAGAGUGUAAUGCAGAAAAAAAUAAAAAAACCAAAAACCAAAAAAAAAAAACAACAAACAAACCCCUAAACCCACCAAAAACAAACCCCAAAACCCAACAACAACAACAACAUGGUGAGACUUGCUCACCAGGAGCGAAGUCGGGUGCUAGACAAACCCCAGAAUAGUCAAAUGGUCCAAUUGUCUAGAAUAUGUAGUUUCUGGAAUGCAUGAAAAGUGAAAGGCCAAUGUUCUAUUAAGAUCAUUGUCCCUUUUCAGAAUCUGCUUAGACUUGUUGAAACCUAACUCUUUCAGCACUAUUUUUGGUAAGAUUUUCCAAAAGAGAGAUAAUCUUUCUGCUUAUUCUAAUAGCUCUCCUCAUCAAAGUGGAAUUUUGGAUUGCUUCAUUUCAUAACCACAGAUCAGAGAAGAAGCCUCUCCCGAUAUCGGAGUUCCUCACUGGAGGUUUUUGAUAGAGAAACAGAGAGAUCCUCUGUAAUGGGCUAUCUUCCCUGAAGAGCUAACGCAUCCCUCUCCUUACAUUGGGUAUUUGCCCUCACAUAAGCCUGUUUUGUUUUCCACACAAAAUUGAUAGCUGAAAUUAUUUUAUCUUUUUGUUUCCCUUUGGGGUUGUUCCCCUGUGGGUGAUGAGUGGGGUGCUGAUCUAUGUUGCAGGCUCAUUUUCUUUGGCCCACGGAGGGAUGUACACCAAUUUUGAAUCUGAAUGUUUUUAGGCAGAAACUCUCCAGCUCAACAUAAUAAUCACCACUCCUUCCUGUCUCACGCUUGGUUCUUCACACAUCUGAGUUCUCUGCUUUGUGCAGGAAGGCAAGUGAGUGUGGGAACUGUGGCUUCCAUAUAGUAGGUCUCCUGCGGGACCUAUAACUCCAUGGAGUGGGGACCUUAUAUGUACUCCAGCAUGUAUAAUGGUAAACAUUCAACAAGUAUGUGUUCACUGGGGUAUAAAGUAAGGGGCUUUAUUUUUGGCUCCUUCUAAAUUGUAGGACAAAGGUGGGGGGACGUCUUACCCUUCUCAUGCUUUCACUUUCUUACCUACAGGAGGAUCGAGUGGUUUAACAUAUGUGGAAUUGGGAGGGAAAUGAGAGAGGCCCUGUUAAGAUUCUUUUAAGACCCCUGAUCAAUACUCACCAGACGAUGAGUAACUUCCUUGUAGGCAGGCUUUUGCAGAGAAUGGAGCUGCCUUCUUAGAUGGGGAAAAAAGCUUUACAAGUCUCAAUAUUGUGAGGCCCCUCUCCAUGAAAGAUGAAGUCAUGAAGAAUCAGUCAGCAUGGUGAGCAAAAUAAUGCUCCUCCACCUCCAAAGAUAUCCACAUCUCAAUGCCCCAAAUCUUUGAAUAUGUCACCCGACAUGGCAAAAGGGACUUUAUAGAUGUGAUUGAUUUAGGGCCUUGAGAUGGGGAGAUUAUGCUAGAUUAACCGUUCAGGUGAGCCCAAUCUAAUCAUAAGGAUCCUUAUAAAGGAAAGAGGGAGGCAGAAAAGUCAGAGUCAGGGAAGGCUAUAUGAUGGCGAAAGCAGAGGUCACUGAUGCCAUUGCUGGAAUGGGCCAUAAGCUGAGGGAUGCGAAUGGCCCAUAAAAGCUGGAAAAGGCAAGAAACAGAUAUUCCCCUAGAGCCUUCAGUGGGAAUGCAGCCCCAUCUGCACCUGUAUUUCAGCCCCAUGAGUCACGUGUCAGACUUCUGACCUUCAGAACUAAAAGAUAAUAAAUUUGUCCUGUUCUCAGGCACUAAACUUGUGGUAAUUUGAUAUAGGAAACUAACACAGUAAGUCCAUAUUUACUGAGGAACUGUACUCUGUUCCCAAAAUAAAAGGUAGACAUAGUCAUUAAGUAUAUUUUAGCAGGAUAAGAAAAUAUUAAAGAAAUAUUUAUAAACAACAGUCGAACAACAAGAAGGGCGAGAAAUCCUACAACGGAGAAAUUUGAGGAACAGAAGGAUGUUUCACUUCCCUAUCUCUUUGCAGGUUGAAGAUUACAUUCCAGAGGAAGUUUACACAGAAACUUUGUACUCGAUGCUGAAUGAAUAUCCCAGGAACGAGUGGAGAGCUCUUGAAAAUCUUGGUGUCUUGCUUUUUCUUAGCAAAUAUACCA